CUACGGGCUGUAGCAGUGAGGAAUAUUGCACAAUGGGGGGAACCCUGAUGCAGCAACGCCGCGUGGAGGAUGACGCAUUUCGGUGUGUAAACUCCUUUUAUAUGUCAAGAAAAUGACGGUAGCAUAUGAAUAAGCACCGGCUAACUCCGUGCCAGCAGCCGCGGUAAUACGGAGGGUGCAAGCGUUACUCGGAAUCACUGGGCGUAAAGGACGCGUAGGCGGGUUGGAAAGUCAGGUGUGAAAUCCUACAGCUUAACUGUAGAACUGCACUUGAAACUUCUAAUCUAGAGUAUGGGAGGGGGAGAUGGAAUUAGUGGUGUAGGGGUAAAAUCCGUAGAUAUCACUAGGAAUACCUAAAGCGAAGGCGAUCUCCUGGAACAUUACUGACGCUAAGGCGUGAAAGCGUGGGGAGCAGACAGGAUUAGAUACCCCAGUAGUC
rnacentral:rRNA from 1 species